GGAAAUGGGACUCUUUAUUGUGAAUACAAAAGUAUAUGUUGACUUUAUUUAUCUUUCCUCCUCGAGCCUCUGGCUGCGUUCCGGCAGACCUGCCGUAUCACCAGUUCCACCUGCUUGCGAUCCAUCUGAAACUUGUGUGUGGUCAGAAACACUAUGUUCUUCAGCUUCGAGGAAUUUAGCUUGGGCUUGGAAUGCUUGGCCAGGAGCACUGAGAACCUGCCAGGUCGCCCAGUCAAUGAAUAGGUUCCCAAUGUCUCUCGCCCAAAGACCAUGUGGCAUAGAUCACUGGUGGUAUUCUUGUAGCAGCUUCAGUCCAACAAUUGGUAGUGCGUAUCGGAAAUAAGUGUUGGAUUGGGACCGGUCUGAACUUGGGUUUUGCAAACUGACUCAUUUGGGUACCCUUCUUUCCGCAAGCUAUUACUUUUCACGUUCCAAUUGCUCCCCUUUAAUUUUUGCAACUUAUUUUCCUUUUUUUGAAUACCUUUCCUCGUAGCGUGGUUAGCUGCUGGGUUUUGAUCCACUGGCCCCAUUCUGAGAAGUUUCCAAGUGGCAUCAAAUGCAGAAAAUUAGAGUUGCUUGCACUCUUUUUUCAGGGAUGGGAGAAAGUUGUGACAAAACUAUCGAUAGGUUAAUAGAGCUAAGAUUUCCGAUUAGGUUCGAAGUUUACUGCAAGCUGUUCAAAAAGAAAAACAUAAAACAAGUAAAUCAAAAAUGAAGUAAAUCAUAACGUUUUCGGGCACAUUUAUGUUUGUGUAAACGGUCCAAUCAAUCGUUAGGAGCAUGCUUUUAAGUUUGGCAAAUAUGGUAUUAAAGAACCUGAAAUUUAAUUUCAAUUAUAUAUCUAGAUCCGAGUCUAAAUGGGAACGCAGGGAUAGACAAAUGCGACCUGGACUAGUGCCACCUCCACGACUGAGUGACUUCAAUUACCCCACACUCUUUUGGAUGGCAGAUGGCAAAGUGUUCCACUCGCCAAACAAGUUCCAGAUUGCAUCUUUAUCUCGGCCCGUACAUAUUCUUGCAGGCAAUAAAAGUUUCUGGGCAAUAAAUCUGCAAGUUUGUGGAGCGAGACCUCGAACCGAGCAGAGGAAAAACAUCUGCAGUCGGCGAUGCACACAAAUUGCCAAAGAGUUGGCCGUCGAACAGGUGGCCCUGGAUCGAGCGGCAGGCUGCGGAUGAGGAGGACAGGAUUUUAUGUCUUGCAGGUCACUGAUUCACUUGGCCUCCAUUUCGGCUUAGUUCUUUGCUGAACGUAAAAACUGCGACUCAAAGGUUUAUGGCCAGGCCGACUGUGAGCAGGACGACGAACAAACAAGCGGAGAGCUCGGAUUGGCGACAUCCUCCUGCAGGUCCUUGUUGCCGUGCUUGUUGUUGGCUGUCUGGCAGUUGGAAAAAUUGACUGCAUUGCCCACGGGUCAACAAAUAAAUUGGUUGGCCGAGCGGCGCGCCCUGCUGCCAUGUUGAUUUUGAGGUCAUCGCUGAUAUUGCGGAUGCGAAUCGUUUUUGAUUGCACCGGGCGGUUCCACUGGCAAUGCAGCACAGCCCCGAGAUGAUGCGGUAACCGCACUACUGUCAUUUACACUCCCAUUCCCAUACCCAAACUGAGUCCCAUUGCCACGGACAGAUGGACUCGGACUCCGGAUCCGAAGCUGACUACGGUCUGCAGUCUACGGUGUAUUAAUUGUGGUUGCGACUGGCCAUAAAAAGUCGGUGCGUCAAAUAUUUAUUACAAAUGACCGUGACAAGCGGAAGGACAUACGCAUUGGCAGGAUGAGAGCCAGUCGAGUUUUGUGUUUUCCCCGGAUUUUCCCUGGACUGCCCACCUGCAGAAUGUUAAAUAAAUCAAGCUCAUGCCCAUGUAUACGUAUCUCUUUUCGGAUGCGCCGAGUGGGUUUGGUGAAUAUUUCACGAAUUGAGCUGUCAUGCAAAUGUGGUAUUUCUGUUUUUGAAGUUGACAGGCCUCGAAAAUUGCAGCGUACAUCUAGAUUGAACCAUUGACAGGACGCGGAGGAGCCGGCACGUCCUGGGUGUGG